AGAGUUUGAUCCUGGCUCAGGACGAACGCUGGCGGCGUGCCUAAUACAUGCAAGUCGAGCGGACUUGUAGGAGCUUGCUCCUACAAGUUAGCGGCGGACGGGUGAGUAACACGUGGGCAACCUGCCUGUAAGACUGGGAUAACUUCGGGAAACCGGAGCUAAUACCGGAUAGGUUUUCGGUCGCAUGAACCGGAAUGGAA
rnacentral:rRNA from 1 species